GACGAACGCUGGCGGCGUGCUUAACACACGCAAGUCGAACGGAAAGGCCCCUUUGGGGGUACUCGAGUGGCGCACGGGUGAGUAACACGUGAGUAACCUGCCCUUGACUUCGGGAUAACUUCAGGAAACUGGGGCUAAUACCGGAUAGGAAUCCUUGCUGCAUGGUGGGGGUUGGAAAGCUUCGGCGGUUUUGGAUGGACUCGCGGCUUAUCAGCUUGUUGGUGGGGUAGUGGCUUACCAAGGCUUUGACGGGUAGCCGGCCUGAGAGGGCGACCGGCCACAUUGGGACUGAGAUACGGCCCAGACUCCUACGGGAGGCAGCAGUGGGGAAUAUUGCACAAUGGGCGGAAGCCUGAUGCAGCAACGCCGCGUGCGGGAUGACGGCCUUCGGGUUGUAAACCGCUUUCAGCAGGGGCGAAGCUUGUGGUGACGGUACCUGCAGAAGAAGCACCGGCUAACUACGUG
rnacentral:rRNA from 1 species